rnacentral:rRNA from 1 species
CGGGGUGAGUAACGCGUGGGUAACCUGCCUCAUACAGGGGGAUAACAGUUAGAAAUGACUGCUAAUACCGCAUAAGCGCACAGUACCGCAUGGUACAGUGUGAAAAACUCCGGUGGUGUGAGAUGGAUCCGCGUCUGAUUAGCCAGUUGGCGGGGUAACGGCCCACCAAAGCGACGAUCAGUAGCCGACCUGAGAGGGUGACCGGCCACAUUGGGACUGAGACACGGCCCAA